AGUCUCCUUUUUUUCAUAAAGGAAGCAAGCAUUGGUAAAGCAUACCUUUAAUACCAGCACUUGGGAUACAAAGGUAGGUAGAUCUCUGUGAGUAUGAGGCCAGCCAGGGGAUACACAGAGAGACAGUAACAAAAAAGUUAAAAAGGAGAUUAGCAUUCAGACAGGAGGUGGAGGCAAGCGCUAUGGGACCAAAAGACCAUCAUCUACAAGCCAAGAAAUGAGCCUCGGGCUGGUGAGAUGGCUCAGUGGGUAAGAGCACCCUAUUGCUCUUCCGAAGGUCCGAAGUUCAAAUCCCAGCAACCACAUGGUGGCUCACAACCACCCGCAAUGAGAUCUGAUGCCCUCUUCUGGUGUAUCUGAAGACAACUACAGUGUACUUACAUAUAAUAAAUAAAUAAAUCUUUAAAAAAAAAAAAAAGAAAUGAGCCUCAAAUGAGUAACCUUGAUCUUGGACUUUUGAUAUUCAGAAAAUUGAGAAAACACAUUUCUGCUAAGCCAUUCAGUCUGUGAUCAUUUUCCAUGGCAAUCUUCUAGACCAAAAGGAGAGGAAGUCAUGUUGACACUUUAUUACAAAUAGUUUGCAGUUCUAACUUAAUGUUUAUCAUGUGAGUUGGCAAACACAGUGGUUCCUGGAAGAGGUUGGCUGUGGGUAAUUGAGAGGGUAGCCUUUGGAAGUCCAACAGCACAGGUUCAAAUUCCACUCACCCACUGUGUAACUUGGAGUAGUUUGCUUAACCUCCCUUUUCAACACAGAUGGACUCAUAGCACCUAUUGAUCUAAGCAAUGGUGGUAAUGGAUGACUGAUAUUCUGCAAGACACAGCACAGAUGCAGGUUGACAGCAGACUCAACUCUGGAAUGUAUGCAUUGGAGAUGGGUUUAAAGACUUGGACUCUGUCUUCGAUCCUGAAGCAACCCUGCAGCUUGAUUACAGGCCCUCUUAGCCUCAGAUCCGCAUUGGUGCUGUAGGACGCAAGACCCACGCAGGUUCCACAGCAGUCCUGCUGAGAUGUGAGGACGUUACAGUCAUCAGCAAGCCAAGUUAAAGAUCUGCUUUGUACCCUGGAGCAAACCCCAAUCCCCUUGCUUUAAAUCCUGGAGACAGUCUAGUUCAACCAUGAACCACCCAUAAAGGAAGAAAUCCACCCUGCAACUCCCACACAGAAAGACACAGAAGGCUCCCUCCCGGGCCUCAGAUUAGGCACAAACCACACCCAAACACCUGUUUCACUGAGAUUCUUUCUUAAGCAGGGGAGAAAAGUUAAAAGUGGCUGCUUUCAGAACCCAUGUCUGCUGGACCUCUCAUGAGGCCCACCAAACGGAGACGUCAUCCAGCAGCCAUGAGACUGGUUCUGAGAACAUCUGACUGGGAUCUCAAGACAAGCCCACCAGCUCAGAGAUUUAAGAGAAGACCUCACAAGGCUAAAAACACUUUCUAAGGAAUGGCAGAAGUGUUUGUUCCUCCAAACACAUGGAUCAAUGCAAAGAUGUGCUAAAUCAAAAGGAAUCUGGCAAACUGAACACUGGUAAAGAAACCGAACGAGGCUGGGACAGCUCACCACAGAAAUUAGAGACCUGUGAGUUGUAGGAAGGAGAAUUCAAAAUGCUCACAUUACAGAAGCUCAAUGAGGUGGAAGGGAACACACUUAAGAAGAAAAGUAAAGGAAUUGGAUGGGAAAAUAAACAUAUUUAUCCUUCAAUAAAAUAUAAACA
rnacentral:lncRNA from 1 species